rfam:Stegodyphus mimosarum contig5464, whole genome shotgun sequence.
GCCUUCGUGGUGUAGUGGUCAGCACGCUCUACUCGUAUUCGAGAGGUCCGUGGUUCGAGCCCCGGCUAGGGCA